rnacentral:miRNA from 1 species
UUCAUGGACAGCCAGCUUAUU